UUGCAUUCUUCCGUUUCGUAAAAUUCUUUCAACUAUAUUUUUUUUUAUGAAUUAUGAUGUCAAGUGAACUUUUUUAAUUGAAAGAUGCAUACAAUUCUUCAAUAAUUUUAGUUCCAAUCAAUUUCACGAUACCAUCACAAUUAUAUACAAUAGCGUUUGCAAAAUAUUUAAUACAUUGUGUAUUGGCAUAAUUAAUAGCUUCAUUAACAUUUGGUCCAAGAUUGUAUCCUCCAUGAAACGAGUAUGGAUGUGUUAUUAUGAACAUUUCUAGCUUCUGUAUAACUUAAGUAUAAAUAAUUUUAUAUUUGUCUAAAAAAUUUUCUGUGAUGACAAAUAAUUUAUGGCCAAGUAGGUUCUCGCAGAAACGGCCCGGGGAAAUUGUAUUUAUUUAUUAUAGAAAUAAGAUUAUAAUCUUUGAGGUGUACGGGAAAAUACGACUAUUUACUACCAAAAUAAGUGAAUGGUUAAACUUUUAACAAAUUCAUCUCUUUGAUUUUUUAUAAGAGUAGGGUGACUUUUUAAAUGUGCUAGGUUCCAAUGUGAUUGGGUGCAAUCAUUUUUGUACAUUUGGUCGAAUAUUAAAUAUUUAAUGUUGGCUGCAUUCAACUGUUAUAAAAAUUUUGAGACCAUAGUAACGUAGUAAAUAGAAAAACUUUUAACAACGGUAAAAAAAUAUUUAAUCAACAUUUAAAUGAACAAGUAAUGAAUAUAAUAUAACAUCAAAUUAUCAUCAAAUAAAAAACAUAAAAAAGAAUUACUUAAGUGACACCUUAAAGAAGUUAAUUUAUCAUGACUGAUGAUAUGAAAAUUGUGGAUUUGAUUGAUAAUAUAAAAAAUUGGAAAAUUACUGCACGAAUUCAAAACAAAACAUCAGUCAGAAAAUUUAAAAUAAAUGGAAAUGAAACUAAAGUCUUCAAUUUAGAUAUAAUCGAUAAUAGCAGAGAUAUAAGAUGCGUUAUAUUCGGUGAUAAUGUUGAAAAAUUGUAUAUUUUUCAGAUACAAAAAAUAUACACUAUAGCUAACGGUUUCGUGAAAAAAACAAAUAAAAAGUUUAAUGAUUUCGAUCAUGAAUUUGAAAAAAUCUUAACAGAAAACUCUAAAAUUAUAGAAUCGAAAGAAGAUGAAAAUAUACCAAAAAAUGAUUUCAAUUUUAUUAAAAUAAAAGAUCUAGCUAAAAUAAAAAGCAAUUCUUUAAAAGAUAUUAUAGCGAUCAUCAAAAGUAUAAAAGGAAUAAAAAUAUCAAUAAAAAAUGGAUUACAAUUAAAGAGACAAGAUAUAAUUCUUAUUGAUGAUUCACAAUCUAAAAUAUCAUUAACAUUAUGGUCAGAUCAAAUAAAUGAUUUUGAUGGAGAAAAAGGUGAUAUUAUUGCUAUGAAUAAUAUUAAAAUUAAUGAAUUUAAUAACAUUAAAAACUUAAAUUUAGUUCGUUCAUUAUUGUUAUUAUAAACCUUAAAAUACCAGAACAAAAAGAGUAAUCUCAAAAAAUGGUAUAGCAAAGAAGGAAAAUAUAUCAAUGAAAAUAAAUUUAGAAACUGUUCAAGUCAAGAUCAGAAAACAUAUGAUUUCAAAAAAUUUAAAUCAAUAUACAAUAGUCCAAUAAAUACCAUACUUGAUAUUAUCGCCAAAAUCUAUGACAUAAAAAAAACCGAAAAAAUUAGCACAAUUCAUAAGGAAUUUGAGAAAAGAGAAAUAAUUUUAGUUGACAAGAAAGAUAAUAAAAUUGUUUUGAAGUUAUGGAAUGAAAACAUUGACGAAUUUAAAGCAAAAAAAAAAUGAUAUUGUAUCAAUAAAAAAUGUCAAAAUCGGAGAAUAUCACUAUGAAAAAAAUCUUUCAUUAACAGCUCAUUCCAUAAUACAAAUAAAUCUGAAUAUUCUAGAAGUAGAAAUAUUCACUAAUCAUAAUGAAGACCCUGGAAUCGAUGAUACAGAAAUGGAAAUUUUCAACACAAUACAAAUUAUAAAAAAUAUGGAAAUUGGAACAAUAAUAAAUAAGAAGUAUAUAAAAAUAAUAAACCAAAUCGUAUAAUAUUUUAUA